GGAGAAGUCGCAUAGUGGUCGAGUGCAGCAGUUUACUAAACUGCCAACCCCUUACCGGGUUCGUGGGUUCAAAUCCCACCUUCUCCG
rnacentral:tRNA from 1 species